UUUGACCUCAGAUCAGGUAGGACUACCCGCUGAACUUAAGCAUAUCAAUAAGCGGAGGAAAAGAAACUAACAAGGAUUCCCCUAGUAACGGCGAGUGAAGAGGGAAGAGCUCAAAUUUGAAAUCUGGCGGCCUACGGUCGUCCGAGUUGUAAUCUAGAGAAGUGUUUUCCUUACUGGACCGUGUACAAGUCCUUUGGAACAAGGCGUCAUAGAGGGUGAGAAUCCCGUCUACGACACGGACUCCCAGUAUUUUGUGAUACACUCUCAACGAGUCGAGUUGUUUGGGAAUGCAGCUCAAAAUGGGUGGUAAAUUCCAUCUAAAGCUAAAUAUGGGCGAAAGACCGAUAGCGAACAAGUACCGUGAGGGAAAGAUGAAAAGCACUUUGGAAAGAGAGUUAAACAGUACGUGAAAUUGUUGAAAGGGAAACGCUUGAAGUCAGUCGCGUCUUCAGAAACUCAGCCUGGCUUCUGCCUGGUGUACUUUUCUGUGGGACGGGCCAGCAUCAGUUUCGGCCGCCAGAAAAAGGUGGGAGGAAGGUGGCACCUCCGGGUGUGUUAUAGCCUCUCAUCGUAUGUGGCGGCGGGGACUGAGGACCGCAGCACGCCUCUAUGGCCGGGGUUCGCCCACGUAACGUGCUUAGGAUGCUGGCGUAAUGGCUUUAAACGACCCGUCUUGAAACACGGACCAAGGAGUCUAACAUGCCUGCGAGUAUUUGGGUGGCAAACCCAUAUGCGGAAUGAAAGUGAACAGUUGGGACUUCUGUCAUGGAAGGCACCGACGCCCGGACCAGACCUAUUGUGACGGAUCCGAGGUAGAGCAUGUAUGUUGGGACCCGAAAGAUGGUGAACUAUGCCUGAGUAGGGUGAAGCCAGAGGAAACUCUGGUGGAGGCUCGUAGCGAYUCUGACGUGCAAAUCGAUCGUCGAACUUGGGUA
rnacentral:rRNA from 1 species